rnacentral:rRNA from 1 species
GGUAAAAGCUCACCAAGCCUAUGACGGGUAGCGGGUCUGAGAGGAUGAUCCGCCACACUGGUACUGAGACACGGACCAGACUCCUACGGGAGGCAGCAGUGGGGAAUAUUGCACAAUGGACGAAAGUCUGAUGCAGCAACGCCGCGUGGAGGAUGACACAUUUCGGUGCGUAAACUCCUUUUAUAUGAGAAGAUAAUGACGGUAUCAUAUGAAUAAGCACCGGCUAACUCCGUGCCAGCAGCCGCGGUAAUACGGAGGGUGCAAGCGUUAUUCGGAAUCACUGGGCGUAAAGGGUGCGUAGGCGGUUUGGAAAGUCAGGUGUGAAAUCCUACAGCUUAACUGUAGAACUGCACUUGAAACUUCCAGACUAGAAUACUGAAGGGGCAGAUGGAAUUAGUGGUGUAGGGGUAAAAUCCGUAGAUAUCACUAGGAAUACCGAAAGCGAAAGCGAUCUGCUGGGAAGUUAUUGACGCUGAGGCACGAAAGCGUGGGGAGCAAACGGGAUUAGAUACCCCGGUAGUCCACGCCCUAAACGAUGAAUGCUAGUCGUCAGAAAGCUCGUCUUUCCGGUGAUGCAGUUAACACAUUAAGCAUUCCGCCUGGGGAGUAUGGUCGCAAGAUUAAAACUCAAAGGAAUAGACGGGGACCCGCACAAGUGGUGGAGCAUGUGGUUUAAUUCGAAAAUACGCGAAGAACCUUACCUAGCCUUGACAUUGAUAGAAUCUGAUAGAGAUAUCGGAGUGCCUGCUUGCAGGAACUUGAAAACAGGUGCUGCACGGCUGUCGUCAGCUCGUGUCGUGAGAUGUUGGGUUAAGUCCCGCAACGAGCGCAACCCUCGUCGUUAGUUGCUAACAGUUCGGCUGAGCACUCUAGCGAGACUGCCUUCGCAAGGAGGAGGAAGGUGAGGACGACGUCAAGUCAUCAUGUCCUUAUGGCUAGGGCUACACACGUGCUACAAUGGGGCGUACAGAGAGUUGCGAUACCGCGAGGUGGAGCCAAUCUCAUAAAGCGUCUCUCAGUUCGGAUUGUUCUCUGCAACUCGAGAACAUGAAGCUGGAAUCACUAGUAACCGUAGAUCAGCAAUGCUACGGUGAAUACGUUCCCGGGUCUUGUACUCACCGCCCGUCACACCAUGGGAGUUGAUUUCACCCGAAAUCGGGAAGCGAACCUUCGGGGCGCUACCGCUUACGGUGGAAUUAGCGACUGGGGUGAAGUCGUAACAAGGUAACCGUAGGAGAACCUGC